GUCUUUGUAGNNUAUAUAUAUAAUACUUCGGCCUUGUAAACCGAAAAAGGAGAUUUAUACCCUCCCUAAGAC
rnacentral:tRNA from 1 species